UACGUAGGGCGCAAGCGUUGUCCGGAAUUAUUGGGCGUAAAGAGCUCGUAGGCGGCUUGUCACGUCGAUUGUGAAAGCCCGAGGCUUAACCUCGGGUCUGCAGUCGAUACGGGCUAGCUAGAGUGUGGUAGGGGAGAUCGGAAUUCCCGGUGUAGCGGUGAAAUGUGUAGAGAUCGGGAGGAACACCGGUGGCGAAGGCGGGUCUCUGGGCAAUUCCUGACGCUGAGGCGCGAAAGCGUGGGAGCAAACGGG
rnacentral:rRNA from 1 species